CACUCCUAAGAAACUGUAAGGACUGGGUGGCCACGUGGAAACUGCUUUUGAUAAAUGAUUGGAGGGGAGAGGCAGGGCUGCUGCUUCAUCAUUGCUGUUACUCCCAGCGGGUCAGAGAUAUUUUGCAUGUGUGUGUGUGUGUGUGUGUGUGUGUGUGUGUGUAUGUGUGUAAGAUGGGAAAAGAAUAUGUAGGAAUGAGAAGACCUUAAGAUGGUGAAGUUGGAGAUAGUAAGUUUUCCUUUAUUUCAGAAUGUCUGUGAAAGCAGUUUAUAAUGAAACAUGCCUUCAGACGUGACUUCUCUGUCUGCACGGCAGCCUCGAGGGAGGCAGUCACAGUCCUCCUGCAGAUGAGGACGCUGAGGCCCACAAGGGGGUCAGUCUCCCCAGGGCGCAAACCCAAACACCCACUGCUGCCAUCCGCCACCCAUCCCACUCCCAAAAAGCAGCAUCCCUGAUGCCUCCCAGCACUUCUGCCUCCAACUGCAGU
rnacentral:lncRNA from 1 species